GCGCCCAUAGCUCAGCUGGAUAGAGCAUCGGCCUUCUAAGCCGAGGGUCCCAGGUUCGAGCCCUGGUGGGCGCG
rnacentral:tRNA from 2 species